rnacentral:RNase_P_RNA from 5 species
UGAGUCGUUCGGAUGACCGCGGCUAGAUAUUGCUUGCAAUGUUUAGCUGAGGAAAGUCGGGGCUUCACAGGACAGAGUGCUGGCGAGAGCCAGGUCGGGGUGACUUGACGAAUGGUGCAACAGAGAAUAAACCGCCGAUGGGCAAUGACCGCAAGGUUGUCGUCACAGGUAAGGCUGAAACGGUGCGGUAAGAGCGCACCAGCGUACGAAGCAAUUUGUGCGGCUUGGUAUCAACACUCGAAGCAAGACCAUGCAGAGGGCAUGAGCGGUCCGUUCGUUAGCUACUUGUAGUUAACAACCCUCGGGUAGGUUGCACAGAGGGAUGGUCAUCGGUUGGCGCGAGAAAUUGCGACGACUACAGAACCCCGCUUAUAGAUCGACUCACCGU